GGAUAAAGCCAACGCCCACCUGGCCCGCAUUCAGCCGGCGGCGCUGGUGGUCGCCGCUGGGGGGUGGACCUGUUAUGGCCGCCCCUCUACGGCGUCACCGCCCACCGUCGGUGCAUUUGCGGGUGGAGUGCGCUGAGGUGUGUGCCCCAGUGGUCCUAUACGCUCGUCAUAAGAGGACUCCCCCCUCGGGGGGAGAAACCCGUCGGCGUGGACGACUGUUUGGGGUGCAUCUAUAAGGAUGGGGUGCUUCUGCGCUCUCUCCGGGCGUCCCUCUCGCCCACUGGUGCCGGUCACAUGUGACACGGGCCGGUGGGAGGGAGUAUGCGGUUGGGGGAUCCUCCCCAUCCCCAGCCUCGGCGUAAAAAUUUGUCAUCUCUCCGACCCGUCUUGAAACACGGACCAAGGAGUUUAGCCUAUGCGCGAGUCACUGGGUGGAAAACCCACGGGCGCAAUGAAAGUGUGUGUCACACUCGCGGUGGCGUAUAUGCGAUCCGGUGGCCCUUGUGUGGGCCGCGCACCAUAGCCCCGUCCCGAUCGCUUGCGAUGGGGCGGCGGAAGAGCGCAUGGGCUGAGACCCGAAAGAUGGUGAACUAUGCCUGAGCAGGACGAAGCCAGAGGAAACUCUGGUGGAAGUCCGAAGCGGUUCUGACGUGCAAAUCGAUCGUCUGACUUGGGUAUAGGGGCGAAAGACUAAUCU
rnacentral:rRNA from 1 species